rnacentral:rRNA from 1 species
CCCUUAGAUGUCCUGGGCCGCACGCGUGCUACACUGACACUUACACCGAGUUUUUCCAAUGCCGAAAGGCCAUUGGUAAUCAGCAAUAAGUGUCGUGAUGGGGAUAGAUCUUUGGAAUUAUUGAUCUUGAACGAGGAAUGCCUAGUAAUCGUAGGUCAUCAGCCUGCGAUGAUUACGUCCCUGCCCUUUGUACACACCGCCCGUCGCUCCUACCGAUUGAAUGGUCCGGUGAAAAUUUCGGAUACCGGCGUUGCUGGCGGUUCGCCGCCGGCGACGCUGGUAGAAGAUCUUUAAACCUUAUCAUUUAGAGGAAGGAGAAGUCGUAACA